rnacentral:rRNA from 1 species
GAUGAACGCUAGCGGCAGGCCUAAUACAUGCAAGUCGAACGGGUGGUCGCAAGACCACUAGUGGCGCACGGGUGCGUAACGCGUAACCAACCUGCCCCGAUCUGGGGGAUAGCCCGCCGAAAGGCGGAUUAAUACCGCAUUUACCCGCAGCCUGGCAUCAGGCAACGGGGAAAGAUUUAUUGGAACGGGAUGGGGUUGCGUGACAUUAGCUAGUUGGCGGGGGAAGGGUCCACCAAGGCGACGAUGUCUAGGGGACCUGAGAGUGUGAUCCCCCACACUGGCACUGAGAAACGGGCCAGACUCCUACGGGAGGCAGCAGUAGGGAAUAUAAGGCAAUGGGCGAGAGCCUGACCCGGCCAUGCCGCGUGCAGGAUGAAGGCCUUCUGGGUUGUAAACGGCUUGUCUCAAGGAAGAAAAAGACCUUGCGAGGUACACUGACGGUACCUGAGGAAUAAGCACCGGCUAACUCCGUG